CCGCCCCGUUCCGCCGGCGCAGGGCUCAGGGGCCCCGGAGCUUGGGAGCGCGAGGGAAGGAGCUGAAGGGGCGGGUCCGUGGGAGGCGAAGGCAGGGGAAAUGUGUGUCUGCAUUUUUUAAUUUGCAGGGGAUAUUUUCCGUCCCCUUUGUCCCGUAAGCCUCUGCUUUUUGGAUGAAAACGUUGGCUUUACCACCCUCUCUCUCCUUCCCGCACGCGCACACCUUGAAGGCAUCCUACCAGGCGGUGACCGCAGAGGAAGCACCCAGAGCCACAGUUCUUGCCUUGUCAGCUGCUCCCACCACGUCCCCAGAAAGCUCCGGGUUCGUCAGAACAGCAACAUUAAAGGAAGGCCCAAUUUAUCUAUGGAAAAAUCCGCUCCGGCCUUCCUCUUGUAGCCCCAACCGUUUUCACUUCUAAGUAGCCGCUUUGGGUCUUACUUGUUGGUUGUACAGUUGCUGUCAAUGUGCCUACCAUUUUGUACCCAGCUUAAAAUUGUUUAUUUAUUUAUUUAUUUAUUUAGAGGCAGAGUCUCGUUCUAUCACCCAGGCUGGAGUGCAGCGGGGCGAUCUCUGUUCAUUACAACCUCCGCCUCCCGGGUUCAAGCGAUUCUCCUGUCUCAGCCUCCUGAGUAGCUGGGAUUAUAGAGGUGUGCCACCGUGCUCGACUAAUAUUUGUAUUUUUAAUAGAGACUGGGUUUCGCCAUGUUGGCCAGGCUUGUCCUGAACUCCUGACUCAAGUGAUCUGCCUGCCUUGGCCUCCCAAAGUGCUGGGAUUACAGGCGUGAGCCACCAUGCCUGGCCAAAUUUUUUUUUUUAAUGUAUCAGCAAUAUUUUUUCAUGUUUCUCUUUAUAUAUAUAUAUAUUUUUUGACACAGGGUCUUACUUUGUCGCCCAGGCUGGAGUACAGUGGCAUGAUCGUAGCUCAUUGCAGCCUCCACCUCCCUGGGCUCAGGAGAUCCAUCUCAGCCUCCUGAGUAGCUGGGACCACAGGUUUUGUUCAGGUUUAGCACAAGCUGUGAUGAAUAUCUUCAAGCCUCUGCUUCCUGCUGUGGAAUUGUUGCCAAAGGACACAUUCCCAGAUGGGAUUACUGAGUCAGAGGAAGUGGACAUUGAGUGGCUCUCAACAGACAGGCUGUGUUGCUCUCACAGUGCCCAGGCUCUCCCUCUAUCGUCCAGGCUGGAGUGCAGUGGCACCAUCACGACUGACUGCAGCCUCCUGCGCCCCGUGAUCUUCCCACCUCAGUGCCCUGAGUAACUGGGACCACAGCUUCCCAUGGGUGGCCAGCCGAAUGCAUUAUGGGAGAAAGCAGGUCUCGUGGAUAAUAUUUCUGAAGAUCGGAGCAGGUUGCCAGGUCCACGUCGGCCAUGACUGCAGCACGCUCCGGAGGCAGCAGGGGGCACCCUGGAGCUUCGCAUCCUCCUUCAGGCCCGCGGCAUCUCCCCUGGCUCCACCAUCCCCAGGUGUCUCAGGUUGGACGCACGGUAGUUCGCUAUGGCCAUUUCUGAUUAAAGACAGAACAAAUGGAUUGUCCGGAUACGGUGUCUGUGAAAGGAACCCAGCUGUGAGCCUCGGCAGGCAGGUGCGACAUUCUAAAUCCACAGGGAGGGCCCAGAAGGGACGCAAGAGGUCACCUGCCGUGCAGGGUGCGGGGGGUCUUGGAGGUGGGCAGCAGCUGUUCACCCGUGAGCGACGAGGAGCAUCAGCGCUUGAACAGCGGAAGCAGCAUUUACAGGUGAACACCAGCCCGAGAGGGCCGGGGGGCCCAAAGCUAUGGUGUCCAGAGCCUCCCAGCUCCCACUCUGGCCUCCAGUGGCCAUGGAAUUGCUAACUAUGAGGGCGCAAGCUUCUCCCAGCAAGUCAAGGGGAUGCUAUGUGCUGCGAUAACGGGUCCGGCCGCCUUGCCUUUGGCCUUCCAAGCCCCUCUCUGAGCCCCAGGACGUACCCACACCUGCCGGCCCAUGUAGGGUGGUCCCAGCCUGCGUCAGUCAGGCCACACUCCGGAGCCAGGCUUGGUGCAAACUCCCAGCUGAGCUCACCCGCUGGCUGCGGUCUGUGAUACUUCCCUGGUGGUCUCUGACGGGGCUGUAUGGCCUCCCUCUGGAACCCAGGCUGAACACUCGAGGAGCUGGAGGCAGUCGGGCAGAAUCAGCCUCUGGUUGCCAGCAUGGGGUGUCAGGCAGGGGCAAUCCAGCGGGGAGCCUGGGGAGAGAGGGCGGGGGUGAGGCACUGAUCUCAGGCUGUGGGGAGGAAUUCACACCUGCAUGGCUGAGGCUGGUGCUGCCCCCCUGAUCACCAGGAGAUCAGCCUCUCCUUCCCCAGCCUCAAUUUGCACCCCUGGCCUGUGCGGUUGGCACUGUCUCCCGUGGGGAGCCCCUGCCUGGCUCAGGGGAGACCCUGGUGCAGAGCCCACCUUUGGAGCUGCCCUGUCCUGCUGAGGCAGGAGCCACCCCUGGCCUGGCCCUGGCCCUGGCCCUGGCCCUCCGGUGAGGCUGCAGUAGCCAGGAGAAGGCCAGUCAGAAAGGCCAUCUGCCUGGCGGGUGUUUCUAGCCAGCAGGCCAGGGUAAGGAAGUUGUCAGGCGUCCUGCGGGGAUGGCCAGGGUUGCAGACAGGGGUGGCAGCCAGCUCCAUGUAGCUCUGGGACCCAGGUGUGUGGCAGGGCCAGGAGCAUGUUCUGCUGCUCUUCCAGGCCCGACUCCAGCUCAUUUCCUUGAGAGACCCUUUCACCUAUUCCAACCUGCAUUUGCCUGUGUCGUCCUUUGCAGCAGCAGCCUUGUGGCUGUGCCUCUUCUGUGCCCUCCGAGUUCUAGGCUGAGGGUGAGGAUUGGAUGAGUUGAUCCACGCAAGGCUCCUGGCACAGUGCCUGGCAUAUGGUUAAAUAGACUUGAAGUUAUAAUUACCAGGUAUGUGACCCUGUCCUCAAUAUGAGUGCCACAGUGGGCUGGAGAGUGGCAGCCCUGCUGGGCAGGAUCGUAGGGUCUCAGUGACAGGCCUUCCUCGUAUCCCUGACAGGGAGAGAGGCUCACUGAAUAGUAAGUUGGCUGUGUCUUUUCUGUCUGAGCCUCUCUGGGAAGCUUCCAAGGGGAUAAAGGCUUGAGCUGGAACUUGGAGGAGUUUGCAGGUGGCUGGAUUGGGGUGGGGGUGGGGAGGAGGGUGCCAGCAUGCCAGGUGGGGGAACAGCAUGGGCGAAGGUAUGGAGAUGGGGGAGGGAUCUGGACAGGGUGCCUGUGGCUGGAGCACAGGGCAUGUGUGGGCGGGAAGCAGGUGAAGAGAGGAAGAGCUCUGGGGGACUUCUGGAGGGGACCCACCGUAGGAGCAGGCCAAUGGCUGGCAGGGCUAAGUGGUGCAGGUGCCCCUGAUGGAUUUGAUCGAGGUGGGCACACAUGCUCAUGUCAGAGGCAUGUAAACCAGAGCAACUCCAUCUUGCGUAGGAGCUGGGUAAAAUGAGGCUGAGACCUACCGGGCUGCAUUCCUGGACAGUUAAGGCAUUCUAAGUCAUGGGACAAGACGACACAGGUCAUAACGACCUUGCUGAUGAAACAGGUUGCAGUAAAGAAGCUGGUCAAAACCCACAAAAACCAAGACAGCCAUGAGAGUGACCUCCGGUCGUCCUCGCUGCUACACUCCCACCAGGGCCAUGACAGUUUACAAAUGCCACAGCAAUGUCAGGAAGUUAGCCUAUAUGGUCUAAAAAGGGCAGGCAUGAAUAAUCCACCCCUUGUUUAGCAGAUCAUCAAGAAAUAACCAUAAAAAUGUGCAGCCAGCAGCCCUCGGGGCUGCUCUGCCUAUGGAGUAGCCAUUCUUUAUUCCUUUACUUUCUUAAUAAACUUGCUUUCACUUUACAGACUCACC
rnacentral:lncRNA from 1 species